CGAUACGAAGUUUUCGAAAAUAUCUUCAGAUGAAGAAGUCCAAGAAUAUAUGUCCUUCAUGGACGUGAACCUGUGCAAAGGUAAAAUGAUUGCUGAUGCAGUAUGGCACCCAAUGUGGACAGGAAUCAUCGCAAUAGCCUACGCCAAUGCUGCUCCAAAUGUUUAUCAAUCUGGACCAAAAAUGGAGGAUAAUGUUCUGAAAGCAGUUCAUGGACUGAACUCGGUUCUUAUCUGGAGCUGUUUGGAUGGACUGCGGCCUAAAUUGAUUCUAGAAACUCCAAGAGAGGUUCACAAACUAUCUUUUUGUAAAUUUGACGAAAAUAUCCUCAUUGGCGGUUGCAGUAAUGGA